rnacentral:rRNA from 1 species
GGGGGCACGGGGGGCCUACGGGAGGCAGCAGUAAGGAAUAUGGGUCAAUGGGGGCAAGCUUGAACCAGCCAUAACGCGUGCAGGAAGACGGCCCUACGGGUUGUAAACUGCUUUUGUACCGGAAUAAACCCCGAUUCGUGAAUCGGGCUGAAUGUACGGUAAGAAUAAGGAUCGGCUAACUCCGUGCCAGCAGCCGCGGUAAUACGGAGGAUCCAAGCGUUAUCCGGAUUUAUUGGGUUUAAAGGGUGCGUAGGCGGCUUAUUAAGUCAGGGGUGAAAGACGGUGGCUCAACCAUCGCAGUGCCUUUGAUACUGAUGAGCUUGAAUGAACCUGAGGUAGGCGGAAUGUGACAAGUAGCGGUGAAAUGCAUAGAUAUGUCACAGAACACCAAUUGCGAAGGCAGCUUACUAAAGUUUAAUUGACGCUGAGGCACGAAAGCGUGGGGAUCAAACAGGAUUAGAUA